UGGGGAAUAUUNUNGCNAUGGGGGGAACCCUGACGCAGCCAUGCCGCGUGAAUGAAGAAGGCCUUAGGGUUGUAAAGUUCUUUCGGUAUUGAGGAAGGUUGAUGUGUUAAUAGCACAUCAAAUUGACGUUAAAUACAGAAGAAGCACCGGCUAACUCCGUGCCAGCAGCCGCGGUAAUACGGAGGGUGCGAGCGUUAAUCGGAAUAACUGGGCGUAAAGGGCACGCAGGCGGUUAUUUAAGUGAGGUGUGAAAGCCCCGGGCUUAACCUGGGAAUUGCAUUUCAGACUGGGUAACUAGAGUACUUUAGGGAGGGGUAGAAUUCCACGUGUAGCGGUGAAAUGCGUAGAGAUGUGGAGGAAUACCGAAGGCGAAGGCAGCCCCUUGGGAAUGUACUGACGCUCAUGUGCGAAAGCGUGGGGAGCAAACAGGAUUAGAUACCCUGGUAGUCCACGCUGUAAACGCUGUCGAUUUGGGGGUUGGGGUUUAACUCUGGCGCCCGUAGCUAACGUGAUAAAUCGACCGCCUGGGGGAGUACGGCCGCAAGGUUA
rnacentral:rRNA from 1 species